rnacentral:rRNA from 1 species
UACAGAGGUCUCAAGCGUUGUUCGGAUUCAUUGGGCGUAAAGGGUGCGUAGGCGGCGCGGUAAGUCGGGUGUGAAAUCUUGGAGCUUAACUCCGAAACUGCAUUCGAUACUGCCGUGCUUGAGGACUGGAGAGGAGACUGGAAUUUACGGUGUAGCGGUGAAAUGCGUAGAUAUCGUAAGGAAGACCAGUGGCGAAGGCGGGUUUCUGGACAGUUCCUGACGCUGAGGCACGAAGGCCAGGGGAGCAAACGGG